rnacentral:rRNA from 1 species
GCGAAGUCGGUGGAGGGGGCGGCGGUAAGACUGGGGAUGCAAGCAUGAGUCGGAUGAUUGUGGGUGAAUGGGUCCGUAGGCGGGCGUAUAAGACAGUGGGGAAAGCUCACAGCGUAACGGUGAAACUGCCGGUGAUACUGUAGGGCUUUAGUAAAUGUGAAGUGGCUGGAAUAAGGAGUGUAGCGGUGAAAUGCAUAGAUAGGACUUAGAACACCAAGUGCGAAGGCAGGUCACUAAGAUUUAACUGACGCUGAGGGACGAAAGCGUGGGGAGCGAACAGGAUUAGGUACCCCUGUAGUC